rnacentral:pre_miRNA from 1 species
GAGAACUUUAUGUUGUCGCCGAGCAUGGAUCUGGUGCGCGGUUUUAUAGGCUCGUGACUAGAUUACAUGCUCGUCUACGAAGUAAAGUCAG